CAGGCAGCCAACAGGGACUGAUGAGCACCCCAGCCCGCCUCACCUUAGGCAGGCACACCCAGGCCUUACCGCACUCACCCUGGUUCCUAACCUCGUUCUCCUGGCUGGAUUCACCAUUGGCAAGAUUCAGUCUCCAGAGCCAGGUGUCUCUUGCUCCUGCU
rnacentral:lncRNA from 1 species